UGGGGAAUUUUGGACAAUGGGGGCAACCCUGAUCCAGCAAUGCCGCGUGUGUGAAGAAGGCCUUCGGGUUGUAAAGCACUUUUGUCCGGAAAGAAAUGGCUCUGGUUAAUACCCGGGGUCGAUGACGGUACCGGAAGAAUAAGCACCGGCUAACUACGUGCCAGCAGCCGCGGUAAUACGUAGGGUGCGAGCGUUAAUCGGAAUUACUGGGCGUAAAGCGUGCGCAGGCGGUUUGGUAAGACAGGCGUGAAAUCCCCGAGCUCAACUUGGGAAUGGCGCUUGUGACUGCCAGGCUAGAGUAUGUCAGAGGGGGGUAGAAUUCCACGUGUAGCAGUGAAAUGCGUAGAGAUGUGGAGGAAUACCGAUGGCGAAGGCAGCCCCCUGGGACGUCACUGACGCUCAUGCACGAAAGCGUGGGGAGCAAACA
rnacentral:rRNA from 1 species